rnacentral:lncRNA from 1 species
UCUAGAUUAAAUUACUUUUUUUUUAAUUUAAUUUCUUACUGGUUUUGUUUUUUUCAUUUGGUUUUCUCUUUGCGUAGACAAUAAAGAUGGUCGAGGUUGUGGAUUACAUGAGAACUCCAAUCCAUAUUACUGAACUCCACUACUGUGAAUUCAGUAGAAAUCAAAGGAUUACACUGUAAUUAUAUCAUAUGAAAAUGAAAAUAUCAUGUGGAAAGAGGAAGAGGACCUGGAAGAGCACAUGGAAGUGGAUGAUGUCAAGGGAAGAGAACAGUUAUGUCACUUGUGCAGAAGAGCCUUCAAAAGAAAAAAAAUCUUCACAAAAACUGCCAGAAAUACCCACAAUUUCAUUCUUAUCAUUCUGAUCAUUGAGGCUGAUUGUGAGUCAAAUCUGUAUCUGCUGAGGAAGUUAAGUGAUGCACCCUCUAAUUAA